GCCAGGUGUUGUGGUGGGCACCUGUGGUCCCAGCUCCUUGGGAGGCAGAGGCAGUAGACUCGCUUGAGCCCAGGAGUUGGAGGUUGCUGUGAGUUGUGAUGCUACAGCACUCUACCCAGGGUAAUAGCUUGAAGCUCUGUCUUUUUUUUUAAAUUUUUUUAUUAUUAUUAAAUUAUAGCUGUAUACAUUAAUGCAAACAUGGGGUACAGUGUAGUGUUUUUUUUUUCUUUUUUUUUUUUUUGAGACAGAGCCUCAAGCUGUCACCCUGGGUAGAGUGCCAUAGCUUCACUACUCACAGCAACCUCCAACUCCUGGGCUCAAGCGAGUCUCCUGACUCAG
rnacentral:SRP_RNA from 1 species